GUGCCUAAUACAUGCAAGUCGAGCGGACCGACGGGAGCUUGCUCCCUAGGUCAGCGGCGGACGGGUGAGUAACACGUGGGUAACCUGCCUGUAAGACUGGGAUAACUCCGGGAAACCGGGGCUAAUACCGGAUGCUUGAUUGAACCGCAUGGUUCAAUUAUAAAAGGUGGCUUUUAGCUACCACUUACAGAUGGACCCGCGGCGCAUUAGCUAGUUGGUGAGGUAACGGCUCACCAAGGCAACGAUGCGUAGCCGACCUGAGAGGGUGAUCGGCCACACUGGGACUGAGACACGGCCCAGACUCCUACGGGAGGCAGCAGUAGGGAAUCUUCCGCAAUGGACGAAAGUCUGACGGAGCAACGCCCGCGUGAGUGAUGAAGGUUUUCGGAUCGUAAAACUCUGUUGUUAGGGAAGAACAAGUACCGUUCGAAUAGGGCGGUACCUUGACGGUACCUAACCAGAAAGCCACGGCUAACUACGUGCCAGCCGCCGC
rnacentral:rRNA from 1 species